rnacentral:lncRNA from 1 species
CAAAAAAAGGACAAAAAUUAGAAAAAUAAAAACCAAAAAAUAACAUUUUUAUAAUAUUUGUGAAUAAAUAUAUAACUUUAAUAUCUUUGUUUUAUUAAAAUUUUCAUUUUGUUACCCACACACACGCACACACACACGCACACACACACGCACACACACACACGCACACACACGCACACGCACACACACACACAUAUACACACACACACAAUGCUAAGAUACAAACUUGAGGACAGAAAUGACUCCUUUAACACCCAUGUAACGUCCAGAAGGACUGUCUGAGGUGUGUUCAGAGGUUCUCCAGUGCAUCCGAAUAAAUGAAACACACACGGGGUACUGCAUCAUCACUCAUCUGGUUACCGUGACGACCGAUCGUCUGUCAUCUUCAAGCGCAGCGCGUGUCGAGGGCCGUCCACACCCACCAAAUUACAUCCUGAGAGCUCGAGCAGAGGACGCUUUUUCUGUGCUGAAAACAACAUUUACACACACACACACACACACUCUUCAGCUGCCAACAAAGAGCUUUUCAUCACACACACACACACACACACACAGAUGGAGGAACGGGUGCAGGGCAAACAGAACAAUACGCACUGAUCCAGUGUCACAGCGCAGGUCAGACUUCUAUAGUCAGGAAAGAUGAUCACUUGCUCUGUUCGCUCUUGGCUUUCCUAAAUGGGAAUGCUAUGGAAUACUGUUUCCUUUUAAAGGAACGGUUCACCCAAAAAUGAACAUUUGCUGAAGGCUUCCUCACCCUCAGGCCAUCUGAGAUGUAGAUGAGUCUGUUUCUUUAUCAGAUUUGGAGAAGUGUAGCAUUGCAUCACUUGCUCGCCCAUGUUUGAAGAAACGUCUUGAUGGAUUUAUUUUCUUAUAAAACAUUUUUUUUGUCAUUAACUGAUGGACUGGAGUGGUGUGGGUUUUUAUCAGCAGUUUGGACUCUCAUUUUGACGGCACCCAUUCGCUAUUGCAGAGCAAGUUAUGCAAUGCUACAUUACUUCAACGUUGUUCCAACGUUGAGGAAACAAGCAUUGCACAAACAACAUUUGUGA